rnacentral:rRNA from 1 species
AGUCGAACGAGAAUCUACUGAAAGAGUUUUCGGACAAUGGAAGUAGAGGAAAGUGGCGGACGGGUGAGUAACGCGUGAGGAACCUGCCUUGAAGAGGGGGACAACAGUUGGAAACGACUGCUAAUACCGCAUGAUGCAUAAGGGUCGCAUGAUUCUUAUGCCAAAGAUUUAUCGCUUCAAGAUGGCCUCGCGUCUGAUUAGCUAGUUGGCGGGGUAACGGCCCACCAAGGCGACGAUCAGUAGCCGGACUGAGAGGUUGAACGGCCACAUUGGGACUGAGAUACGGCCCAGACUCCUACGGGAGGCAGCAGUGGGGAAUAUUGGGCAAUGGGCGCAAGCCUGACCCAGCAACGCCGCGUGAAGGAAGAAGGCUUUCGGGUUGUAAACUUCUUUUAAGAGGGAAGAGCAGAAGACGGUACCUCUAGAAUAAGCCACGGCUAACUACGUGCCAGCAGCCGCGGUAAUACGUAGGUGGCAAGCGUUGUCCGGAUUUACUGGGUGUAAAGGGCGUGCAGCCGGGUCUGCAAGUCAGAUGUGAAAUCCAUGGGCUCAACCCAUGAACUGCAUUUGAAACUGUAGAUCUUGAGUGUCGGAGGGGCAAUCGGAAUUCCUAGUGUAGCGGUGAAAUGCGUAGAUAUUAGGAGGAACACCAGUGGCGAAGGCGGAUUGCUGGACGAUAACUGACGGUGAGGCGCGAAAGUGUGGGGAGCAAACAGGAUUAGAUACCCUGGUAGUCCACACUGUAAACGAUGAAUACUAGGUGUGCGGGGACUGACCCCCUGCGUGCCGCAGUAAACACAAUAAGUAUUCCACCUGGGGAGUACGAUCGCAAGGUUGAAACUCAA